ensembl:snoRNA SNORA47 small nucleolar RNA, H/ACA box 47
CGGAGGACUGAGAAGGUGAGGCAGGCCUGUACCGUGCUGCCUUCCACUGGUUAAGACCUCCAAGAGCAAAGGCCACCAAAAGUCCCUCUGCCACCCUUGGAGGGGCAGCGCUGUGCUGGCCGACAUUUG